UAACUUUAUCUAAUAAUAGGUUUUUUGUAAUGAAGAUUAAUAGGGAAUAGGGUGAAAAACCCUAGCUGUACCCGCAACUGUAAGCUACUGAGUCAAUAUUUUUUUACAUUCUCAAAGUCACUGUGAAAUAUUUCAUGGGAAGGCGUAAAAAAAAAGUAAGCCAGGAAACCUGCCUAUUAUUUUUUUGGGAA
rnacentral:ncRNA from 2 species